UGUGGUGUCAUUGACGGUCACCUCUGCACAUUGCAAUCAGAAAAUGGAGACAAUUUCUCAAAGAUAUGUUUCUCUUUUUAAGAUGGUCAAAGAAAAUAACAAAAACCACCUGAGGACUGAAACUUUGUGGAGCAGUGCACAGUGCAUUCAAAAACCUUCCUUCCCCCCUCCCUCCCAGUGGUGGUAUGAUGGAUCCUCGUUUGUUAAUAAGUGCUGUUUGUUGAGUUUCAUUGCAGUAACAGCUGACCAACCUGAGUCUUUCAGGAAGUACCAGGGAGUACCACCAGUUCAGUGUUUUAUGUCAGUAUUGUUAUGAGACUACCAGAAGUCUGUUCCUUAUUUCAAAAGAAAAUAAUUUUAUGGAAAUUCAAAAUUGCCACUGCAGAUAAUCUCCCUGUGUGCAGCCAAUAUCUGAACUGUGAGAGGGAAGGCAAUAACCAUUGUGCUGACAUUGGAAAGAACAAAAGAGAGGAAAAGUCCUUAAAAUACACGCAAAAAUGCAUAAAGAUUUACAGUGGACUAUUA